AACCCGUGGUGAGGACAUUCCCUUCGGUACUCCUUAUAGCGCUCCCAAGCAUCAUAGAAAGGCCCGUCAGACUUUUGCUUGAAAUUCGAGAUCUUAUGCCUCAGAGC
rfam:Brassica oleracea var. oleracea cultivar TO1000 chromosome C2, whole genome shotgun sequence